rnacentral:rRNA from 1 species
GUGAGGAAUAUUGGUCAAUGGGCGGGAGCCUGAACCAGCCAAGUCGCGUGAAGGAAGAAGGAUCUAUGGUUCGUAAACUUCUUUUGCAGGGGAAUAAAGUGCAGGACGUGUCCUGUUUUGUAUGUACCCUGAGAAUAAGGAUCGGCUAACUCCGUGCCAGCAGCCGCGGUAAUACGGAGGAUCCGAGCGUUAUCCGGAUUUAUUGGGUUUAAAGGGUGCGUAGGUGGUUUGAUAAGUCAGCGGUGAAAGUUUGCAGAUUAACUGUAAAAAUGCCGUUGAAACUGUCGGACUUGAGUGUAAAUGAGGUAGGCGGAAUGUUGCAUGUAGCGGUGAAAUGCUUAGAUAUGCUACGGAACACCGAUUGCGAAGGCAGCUUACUAUUUCGUAAUUGACGCUGAGGCACGAAAGCGUGGGUAGCGAACAGGAUUAGAUACCCGGGUAGUCC